GAUGAACGCUGGCGGCGUGCCUAAUACAUGCAAGUCGAGCGAACAGACGAGGAGCUUGCUCCUCUGACGUUAGCGGCGGACGGGUGAGUAACACGUGGAUAACCUACCUAUAAGACUGGGAUAACUUCGGGAAACCGGAGCUAAUACCGGAUAAUAUAUUGAACCGCAUGGUUCAAUAGUGAAAGACGGUUUUGCUGUCACUUAUAGAUGGAUCCUCGCCGCAUUAGCUAGUUGGUAAGGUAACGGCUUACCAAGGCAACGAUGCGUAGCCGACCUGGGAGGGUGAUCGGCCACACUGGAACUGGAAAACGGCCCAGACUCCUACGGGAGGCAGCAGUAGGGAAUCUUCCGCAAUGGGCGAAAGCCUGACGGAGCAACGCCGCGUGAGUGAUGAAGGUCUUCGGAUCGUAAAACUCUGUUAUUAGGGAAGAACAAAUGUGUAAGUAACUAUGCACGUCUUGACGGUACCUAAUCAGAAAGCCACGGCUAACUACGUG
rnacentral:rRNA from 1 species